AUUGAACGCUGGCGGCAUGCCUUACACAUGCAAGUCGAACGGCAGCGCGGGGCAACCUGGCGGCGAGUGGCGAACGGGUGAGUAAUAUAUCGGAACGUACCCUGGAGUGGGAGAUAACGUAGCGAAAGUUACGCUAAUACCGCAUACGAUCUAUGGAUGAAAGCAGGGGACCGCAAGGCCUUGUGCUCCUGGAGCGGCCGAUAUCUGAUUAGCUAGUUGGUGGGGUAAAGGCCUACCAAGGCAUCGAUCAGUAGCUGGUCUGAGAGGACGACCAGCCACACUGGAACUGAGACACGGUCCAGACUCCUACGGGAGGCAGCAGUGGGGAAUUUUGGACAAUGGGCGCAAGCCUGAUCCAGCAAUGCCGCGUGAGUGAAGAAGGCCUUCGGGUUGUAAAGCUCUUUUGUCAGGGAAGAAACGGUGGGGGCUAAUAUCCUUCACUAAUGACGGUACCUGAAGAAUAAGCACCGGCUAACUACGUGCCAGCAGCCGCGGUAACAC
rnacentral:rRNA from 1 species